rnacentral:rRNA from 1 species
CCUGGCUCAGAACGAACGCUGGCGGCAGGCCUAACACAUGCAAGUCAAACGGCCCUUCGGGGCAGUGGCGCACGGGUGCGUAACACGUGGGAAUAUACACAUCGGUAAGGAACAACACAGAGAAAUUUGUGCUAAUACCUUAUAAUGACUCCGGUCCAAAGAUUUAUCGCCGAUGGAUUAGCCCGCGCUAGAUUAGUUUGUUGGUGAGGUAAGAGCUCACCAAGCCGACGAUCAGUAGCUGGUUUGAGAGGAUGACCAGCCACACUGGAACUGAGACACGGUCCAGACUCCUACGGGAGGCAGCAGUGAGGAAUAUUGCGCAAUGGGGGAAACCCUGACGCAGCCAUGCCGCGUGAAUGACGAAGGCCCUAGGGUUGUAAAGUUCUUUCAGAUGCGAAGAUAAUGACGGUAACAUCAGAAGAAGCUCCGGCUAAAUUCGUGCCAGCAGCCGCGGUAAUACGAAUGGAGCAAGCGUUGUUCGGAAUCACUGGGCGUAAAGCGUACGUAGGCGGACUUUUAAGUCAGAUGUGAAAGCCCAGGGCUCAACCCUGGAACUGCAUUUGAAACUGGAAGUCUAGAGUCCCGGAGAGGUUAGGGGAAUUCCGAGUGUAGAGGUGAAAUUCGUAGAUAUUCGGAGGAACACCAGAGGCGAAGGCGGCUUACUGGACUGACACUGACGCUGAGGUACGAAAGCUUGGGGUGCAAACAGGAUUAGAUACCCUGGUAGUCCACGCCGUAAACGAUUAGAGCUAGUUGUCAGCAAGCAUCUUGUUGGUGACGCAGCUAACGCAUUAAGCUCUCCGCCUGGGGGGUACGGUCGCAAGAUUAAAACUCAAAGAAAUUGACGGGGGCCCGCACAAGCGGUGGAGCAUGUGGUUUAAUUCGAAGCAACGCGCAGAACCUUACCUACCCUUGACAUACCGAUCGCGUUUUCCAGAGAUGGAUUACUUCAGUUAGGCUGGAUCGGAUACAGGUGCUGCAUGGCUGUCGUCAGCUCGUGUCGUGAGAUGUUUGGUUAAGUCCAGCAACGAGCGCAACCCCUAUCGUAUGUUACCAUCAUUUAGUUGGGGACUCAUGCGAGACUGUCGGUGUUAAGCCGGAGGAAGGUGGGGACGACGUCAAGUCAUCAUGGCCCUUACGUGUAGGGCUAGAAACGUGCUACAAUGGCUACUACAGUGAGCAGCGAGGUCGCGAGGCCCAGCUAAUCUCUAAAAGUAGUCUCAGUUCGGAUUGCACUCUGCAACUCGAGUGCAUGAAGUCGGAAUCGCUAGUAAUCGUGGAUCAGCAUGCCACGGUGAAUACGUUCCCGGGUCUUGUACACACCGCCCGUCACACCAUGGGAGUUGGUUCUACCCGAAGGCCGUGUGCUAACUACGGAGGCAGCGGACCACGGUAGGAUCAGCGACUGGGGUGAAGUCGUAACA